GAUGGUGUAGGGGUUAAGCGCGUGACCAGGCUACAGUCCUCGAAGCGGCCAUCCCGGGUUCGAGUCCCGGACCUGGAAACA